GCUGUGAAAACUCUGGUGGUUGUUGUCUGCGCAUACAGACCAUCAACAUUCCUAUUCAACCCUACAAGGAAGACUUUGUCAUCUCUCUGAAGUCUAGCCUGUGGGGAAGGCUUUGUCAUUUCCCCAUGUGCCUGAGGCUUUGGGAUCCUUAACAUCACUGUGAACAUAUCAACAACACAUACUCAUUCAGGAUUUCAUUCAUUUGGGGCUUCCUACAGUAACUAUAUAGUAACACAAAGCAGAUGAAGGCAACCAUCCCAAGAUACAGAUACAGGAAUACUGCAACCAGCUGACAUGAAUUUUUAUCUUCAUAGGCCAUAAAAGGACCCAUGUUCCCAGCACUUUUGUUACACUGUUCAUGACUGCCUGA